GGUGGCGAGUGGCGACGGGUGAGUAAUACAUCGGAACGUGUCCUGGAGUGGGGGAUAGCCCGGCGAAAGCCGGAUUAAUACCGCAUACGCUCUGUGGAGGAAAGGGGGGGAUCGCAAGACCUCUCGCUCAAGGGGCGGCCGAUGGCAGAUUAGCUAGUUGGUGGGGUAAAGGCCUACCAAGGCGACGAUCUGUAGCUGGUCUGAGAGGACGACCAGCCACACUGGGACUGAGACACGGCCCAGACUCCUACGGGAGGCAGCAGUGGGGAAUUUUGGACAAUGGGCGCAAGCCUGAUCCAGCAAUGCCGCGUGUGUGAAGAAGGCCUUCGGGUUGUAAAGCACUUUUGUCCGGAAAGAAAACUUCUGCCCUAAUACGGCGGGAGGAUGACGGUACCGGAAGAAUAAGCACCGGCUAACUACGUGCCAGCAGCCGCGGUAAUACGUAGGGUGCAAGCGUUAAUCGGAAUUACUGGGCGUAAAGCGUGCGCAGGCGGUUCGUUAAGACAGAUGUGAAAUCCCCGGGCUUAACCUGGGAACUGCAUUUGUGACUGGCGGACUCGAGUAUGGCAGAGGGGGGUAGAAUUCCACGUGUAGCAGUGAAAUGCGUAGAGAUGUGGAGGAAUACCGAUGGCGAAGGCAGCCCCCUGGGCCAAUACUGACGCUCAUGCACGAAAGCGUGGGGAGCAAACAGGAUUAGAUACCCUGGUAGUCCACGCCCUAAACGAUGUCAACUGGUUGUCGGGCCUUCAUUGGCUUGGUAACGUAGCUAACGCGUGAAGUUGACCGCCUGGGGAGUACGGUCGCAAGAUUAAAACUCAAAGGAAUUGACGGGGACCCGCACAAGCGGUGGAUGAUGUGGAUUAAUUCGAUGCAACGCGAAAAACCUUACCUACCCUUGACAUGUAUGGAAUCCUGCUGAGAGGUGGGAGUGCCGAAAGGAGCCAUAACACAGUGCUGCAUGCUGUCGUCAGCUCGUGUCGUGAGAUGGUGGAUUAGGUUCCCGCAACCGAGCGCAAUCGUGUCCGUAGCUUGCCUACGCAGAGUCACUUCCC
rnacentral:rRNA from 1 species